UGGCGCCGCUUGUCAACAAAUAUUUGUGAUUAAGUGUUUAAAAUAUAUAAAUAUUAUAUAAAUCAUAAAAAGAUAUAAAAGGAUCGCUUGCUUAAAAGAGUUCUGCAGCAAGUUGCGAUUAGACCAGCAGUGACAGCUUCAAAAAUUCUGUGUCGGCAAAGGCUGCACAAAAUAAGAAAACUAAAGUUUCGGAUGUGUAGAAACAUUUUAAAAGGUCUGACGAUAAAAGAUUUACCAAGUGCCUGAAUUGCAGCAAGGAAUACAAAACCCGUGGCAACACAUCGAACUUGCAUGAUCAUCUUAAACGGUUUCACCCGAAUUUAGACAGCAAUGCUCCUGCUUUCAAUGUUCAAGCUGCUAAAAAUGCACAAGCAGCAGUUGCAGGUCGAGUAUGCGGUCAAUGGAGUCAUACUUUAAACGGGCUGUAUUGUAUGAUGCAAACUCCAAGCGUAAAAACGACAUUGACAAUAUCUUAACAGAGAUGGUUGUUAAGGAUGUUCAGCCCUUUAGUAUAGUAAAGAACGAGGGAUUUAUUUCCACGAUACAUAUUGUAAAAUUUUUCGUGAAAAGUUCUAUUACGAACGAAAACUUGAAACUUGUCGAAGAAAAUGGGGCGUAUACUUUGUUGCAAGAAGCCCCAACAAGGUGGAACAGCUUCCACGAUGUGAUUAAAAUAAUUUUAUUAACGCAUAAAGCUAUUGCUAGUUUGCUAUUAUCCCACUACAAUUCACUGCAGAGGAAAUCAACGUAUUAAAAGAUAUUGAGAAAAUAUUAGUAUUAUUUAAGGUGUCCGAAAAAGUUUCUGGUGGCUAAUACGUUACUAUAAAUACGUUAAUAAUACCAUCGGCAUAUGGAGUCCAUCGCCAAAUUCAAAAUCUUUCAACUGAGUUGGUAACUUCGGUAGGCCAAUAUAGGAAAGAUGCUAUGUUGGAGUCGAUAAAAAACGACUAUCUAUAUAUGAGCUAUGCACGGUAACGAGGAUGGCUACAAUUUUGGAUCCACGCUUCAAAAAAAAUGGGUGUAAAUCAAACGCAAAUGCUGAAGCUAAAUGCUAAGCAAGUACGACCAGUAAGGACCCACUCUUUGAUUUUUUGGACAAACGAUGCGCUACUAAAAAGAGGAAUGUCCGAUCUGAUGCAAUCAUAAUUAAAAGGCAGUAUCUGGAGAAAGACAUUGCCCCACAAGAAAUGGACCCUCUAUUAUGGAUCAAGUCAACCAGACAGAGUUUCCUUUAUUAAAAUUAGUGAUGUUUAAAUAUUUAUGCAUCCCCGCAACGUCUGUGGAGUUGGAAAGAGCUUUCAGUAAGGCGGGACAAAAUAUUUCUGAUAGGCGAACAAGGCUUAAAGAAGAACAUGUGAACGUUUUGCUGUUUUUGAACAAAAAUCUUUGGCUACAAUAAAAACA